UUACAAGUUCUGGAGACUGAAGUCUGCUGUUUAUCAGCAAGAAGGUACAGUAUGGCCAGUGGCAAUACAGGGAUCCCCAGAACAUCCUUCAUUGUUGGCACAGGUGGGAAAAGAAAAAUGGUGGCAUUCAGGCUCACGGCCUCUCUUUCCUGGCUUCU
rnacentral:sRNA from 1 species